rnacentral:lncRNA from 1 species
UCACAUGUUAGGGACACGCAAAAAGCGUGACCCCUUGCCCAUUUUUUGGCGAUUCUUCGGCUAUAUCCCCUCUCUUUCUUCUCCAUUCUCACUGGAGAUCGGACACCCACAGAUCAGACCCCAAAAAUUGAGCAGUGGUUUUCACCUUCUCCAACACAGACCGCCAGCAUCUUCUUCUUCACAAACGAGAGAAGACCCUUCGAUCCCCUCUGAAAAUCAACAGCCAUAGCUUCGAGCUUCACCCUCCUCACCACCAAAUCAGUCCUUGCUCCCUCCUCUUCGUUCAGCAACACCACCUGAACAGAGCAAAACACAGAACAAACACAAAACAAAAAAAGUAGCAGCAAAAAGUAUCAAACAAUCCUCAAAGCUUCAGCUAUUUGAAACAGUUUUCGAAUUCAAUUUCCGUGCAGAAUCGAGGUUCCGACUUGGUCUUUGUUGAUGAAUCCAUCCAUGUUUAGCUUCGUCGGCUGGCUUUUCUUUUUAAACGGGCAGCAGUUCCUUUGACAAUUUGAAAGCAACUCAGUCUUCGUGCGGCGAGUGUGUUUGAUUGAGCGGGUGUCGUUUCGAGUCGCUCGCUGAUUGCCGAUCGAGUCAUUAUGCUGGAGGAAAUCACUAAUUUCACUGCUGUUUGGACACUCUGUUGAGUACUCUGAGCUUUAGCUUUCCAUUUCAGCUUCACUUGGUUAAUUUCAAGCUAUAUUAUUGCUAUCGAGGUAUUUCGCUUACUUAUUUCUUAUGAAUCUCUGAAAUGUAUGGAGUUUUCGUGUUGAUGUGAUUUGUUUUUGGCUCAGAAAUGGAAUUGCUGUUUACGAAUAUUACUGCCAAAUUGGUUUGAGUAUUUUAAGUUUGAAAUUCUGUUUAAUUCGUAUGGAUCGUGAAUCUUACUGUUCUUGUGGUUGCUGCUGUUUAGUGCAGUACUUGCUAAUCUCUAGUACUAAUUGUGCGUUUAGCUGAACAAGUAGACAAUUGAAGUCUUACUGAUUGAUAUGGCAUCUAGUUGAUAUUUGUUCAUUAGCAGAUGAUGAUUUAUAUUAUUUGGGUUGAUUGCACCAUGAAGCUCCUGAUUCGAGUUUUUCUCUUUUAGAACUGAGGCCACCCUAUAAACUUUAAUUUUCUCUUUGGAUUUGUAGAAUCAUAUUGCUGAAUGGUGAAGCUAUCAGAGUUGCCAAGUUAAACAUUCUACUAAAAUUUUGCCCAUUCUUCUUUAUUGUAAAUGUUGAAGCUAAAGGUGAAUGAAUAAGUUAGAUACAUUCAAACAAAAGGCAAAAGGGUAUAAAUCCAUUACUUGAUAUUUAGUUUGAUGUACUGUUGUUUGAUUUGGAAGAAUAACAUAUCAGUUAAUAAAGUUGGUUGUGAUGUAAGGAUUGAGAGUCAAUUUUUGUAUUGAAGCAAUUCUCUGUUUUUUUUCUCGAGUGUUAAUGGAAUUAGCACAGCAAUAUAGAAACAUGUAAAAGAUCUGAUCUAUUACGUCAAUUGUUAGAAUAUCAGGGACUAGUUAUCAACUCGUCGUUUGGGAUGAUUCAGUUUCCGUGCUUUGGAGUUUGGUGUGAACAAUUAUUUGUCUUAAUUUGCCUACAUGAAGUUUAAAGUAUGAUUGUUUUAUUUGGUUGUGAUUGAGCGAUAGUUUACAGUUAGAUUAAUGAGCUUCUUUUAUUGUUUGAAAUGAUAGUAUAAUAUCCAUGUUAUAAAUUAGAUUAAAGUAGGAUCCCCCUUUAAUUUGCCCUUUAAAAACAUAUGUAUAUAAACCUUUUUCUUAAAUUAAUUUGAGGUACGUCAUGCCAAAUAAAAUCACAAAUUACGUGACCCUUUUUAAUUUUUUUUUUUUAAAAAUAGUUAGAAUUUGGGACGCGCUGUCUAGCAAAUUUCACGGUCCUCCCAAAAGAUUAAACGCGUAGUUGCUUUAGGCGCGUUAUUUUAAUAACAUUACCUUCCUAAAUAUAUAUGCUGCCCACCUUCAAAUCCUAAAACGUUGAACAAAGUGUGUCUAGGAUUGCGGGUUCAUUUGAUGCGGCGCAAUCCGAAAACACAUUUUAAACGACGNNNNNNNNNNNNNNNNNNNNNNNNNNNNNNNNNNNNNNNNNNNNNNNNNNNNNNNNNNNNNNNGGCGCAAUCCGAAAACACAUUUUAAACGACGUUCACUUUCUCAAAUAAAUAUAUAUUUAAUAAAAGCGGUUAAAGAUAAAAUUGGCACAUAGGUAUCUCAUGUAUUAAAAUCAGAUUUUAGCCAUUCAUAGCAAUUUAAGCGAUCGUGCUAGAACCACGGGAUCCGAGGGUGCCUAACAUCUUCCCUCGGGUCAACAGAAUUACUUAUUCAGAAUUUCUGAUUCGCAGACUCCAAUCAGAAGUCGAAAUUUUUCCUCGGUUCGGGAUUCAUGAAAAACUAGUGACUUGGGACACCAAAAGUCAAAUCUAUCACAAGUGGCGACUCUGAAUAAAUAAUCCUGAUCUGAAUAAUGUCACUUAAAAUGGAAAAAACUCCCUUAUACAUUUAUCCUCCGGGGUAGGUGUGUAAAAAGGAGGUGUGACACCACCAUUACUUAGUAACCUUGAGAGCUUUUGACGAGAUUUUUAUGAGGGUUUUGACUGGGAAUCGAUUGAAGGUAAGUUCUAUGGCCAUGAAACAUCAUUUAAUUGUGAUUUCAACACUUAAAUUCAUGGAAAUUUGAUUAAAAGGGGAAGAAUUAUGGCUUGACUUUUUGAAUGAAAAAUUGGGAUUUGAGGGAGCAAUUGAGCUCCGAUUCUUGUGAUUUUAAUAUGUAUAAACUCGUGACGAGAUAAGAUAUUCGGUGAUGUUAAAUUUUUUGAUUUUCGAGAAGUGAGCCCGGGGCUCGGAUUUUGAAAAUUUUGUGAAUUUUGAUAUUUUUUGAGUCUUUUCGAUUGGGUUGUGUUCCCUUAGCCUAUUGUAACGUAUUCGUUAUAGUCAUGGUCAGAUUCGACAUGCGAGGAGGUCGAUUCGAGAGGAAAAGGCAUAGCUAUCUAGACUUUGGCCGGCUAGAGGUGAGUAAUAUAUGUAAAUGAUGUCCCGAGGGUUUGAAACCCCUAUAUUUCACAUCGUAAUGAUAUAUUGCGGCGAGACACGCGCUCUACUACGAGUGCGGGAUCGAUUGAUAUUGGGGAUUGUGACUUGGUCUGUCCCGAGUGACAUUUUUACUGUGCUUUCGACUAGAACUUACUUGAAAAAUCAUCCUACUUGGAUUAAAUUGCUACAUUUGGGCUUUGUGCCAAUUAUUUGAUCAUUCACGGAUUGUUAUCACUGUUUCACAUUAUUUGGCAUGUUAUUUGAUCUCAAUCCUAAGUUUUAAUGUUGUUUUUGACAAACUCAGCCAAUUUCUAACAUUCAAUGGCCCAAAUGAUUUUUUACUGAUAUUUUGAGCUGAUUAUUUCAAAUAUUUCCCGAGAGACUAAUGUAUUUUUAUGGACCGAGCAUGGAUCAGGCUGCACACCGUGGCAGUGUGUAUAUAUAUUAGUUCGGACUGCACGCCGCAGUGAUAUAAUGCUUGGGAUGUAAGAGCCCAUCCAGAGUCUGUACACACCCCUAAUGAGCGCCGUCGACGUUAAUUGGAUCGGGCUGCACACCUGUCACGACCACAAUCCCAAUCGUGAUGGCGCCCAACACAAAUGCUAGGCAAGCCCGACCAAUUAACAUUCGGAACUCAACUACUCAAUCUAUUACUAAUUUAUAGUAUUAAAUUAUCAAAAUAGUAUAGUUCCAAUCAGAUAGUAGACAGAGGUAUUAAGAAAGUCAUAAAAACUACCAAUAAAAUUCCUAAAGACCUGGGGUUAUAAGUCUAGAGCUUCUAAGAUAACAAACUAAUAAAUCCUCAGUAAUGAUGAUGUUCACAAAUGUGGAAAUAGUAACAGGAUAGGGGAGGAGUCGGGCCCUGCGAAUGUCAGGCUGCUACCUCGACAACCCCUGAGAAACUCUGAAAUGACAAAAGCUCAACUAUGCUCCCGAGGUACCUGAAUAUGCACAUAUGGUGCAGGGAGUAAAGUGAGUACUUCCAACUCAGUGGUAAUAGACAUGUAUAAUNNNNNNNNNNNNNNNNNNNNNNNNNNNNNNNNNNNNNNNNNNNNNNNNNNNNNNNNNNNNNNNNNNNNNNNNNNNNNNNNNNNNNNNNNNNNNNNNNNNGUAACAGACAUGUAUAAUGACUGAAAGUAAGAAAUCCUGAAAUACCACAAAGUAAAGCUGAACUAACCACCUAGCACAUUUAACAAUGAAUCAGCAUUAAAUCAAUGACAGAUAGACAAAUAGACAUCCAUGUAUGAAUGCAGUGCAAUGCAUAUGACCGCUGCGGCGUACAAUCCGAUCCAUUUGGUGACCCGCGCUCAGUGUGGGGGUUCAGACUCCAGAGGGGCUCCUAUAGCCCAAGCGCAAUAUCAUCGUAGCAUUUGCUGCGGCGUGCAGCCCGAUCCACAAUGACUCCAAUUAUAUGCAUGCAAACCACAUGGGCACAAUUAAGUGUACCAAUUUUAGUUCCAUUUAUCAGGUAUUAUAGCUUCAGUGUUUAAAAUCCUUAGAAGUUUACUAAUCAUUUGUAGACAAUAUUUAACUCAGGACUGAUAUCAUGGAAACAUUGAUAAUAAUCCCUAAGGGAUCCAAAUAAUCGGCACGCAGCCCAAAUAUGCUCAUAACAAUCCAAGUAAGAUGUUUCCCGACAAAUUUCUAGUCAAUAACACAGUAUGGAUAUCACUAGGACAAACUAAGCCAUAGUCCCCAUCCACAAAUGACCCCGCACUCACCGUAGAGUAGGUGUCUCGCCUGAAUACAACAUCACAGUGUGAUAUACCGAGGUUUCAAACCCUCAGAUCAUCAUCUACAUAUUACUCACCUCAAGCCGGCCGUAGACUAGUCCCAAUGCCCUUUCCUCUUGAAUCGACCUCCUCAUGCGUUGAAUCUACUCAAACCACAACAAAUACAUUACUAUAUGCUAAAGAAACAUGACCCAAUCGAAAUUACUCGAAAAUAAUAAAACUCACAAAGUUGGCAAAACCCAAGCCCCGGGCCCACUUCUUAAAAAUUUAUGAAAGUCAUAUCACCGUAUUCCUCGUCUCGCCACGAGUCCGUACAUAUAAAAUUUACCAAAAUCGGAGCUCAAACGGGCCAUCAAAUUCCAAUUUUAGAAUUCAAAAACUCAAGCCCUAGUUUUUCAAUUUUCACCCAAAUUUUCAAAAAUUAAAGGUAGAUUCCUUGAUAAAAUAGCGUUUCUAGGUCACGAGACUACCCCAAUCAAUUCCCGUCAAAACGCUCUUCAAUCUCGACCAAAAAGCUCUUGAAGUGGUUCGUAAAUGGAGGAAAUAUGAAAUGGGUCGCGGAUGACAUGUAACAUAAAACCCUCUGUCGCCAAGCUUUUUCUUCUAUGCGAACGCGAGGGUCCUCUCGCGUUCGCGAUGGACAAAAACUCCACAUACCACUUUUACCCUACGCGAACGCAUACAAUGAGUCGUGAACGCGAUGCUCUAUCUUCCAUCACUAUGUGAACGCGUCCAAACCAUCGUGGGCGCAAUUAGUAAACCAAGCUUUCCCCAGAUUCCUUCUACGCGAAUGCGUGGUACCCACCCGCAAUCGCGAUAGCCAUCCUUACAAGCAUACGCGAACGCGUCCCAUGCCACGCGAACGCGAAGGCCAAGAGCCCAUACUUAUGCGAACGCGACAGGGCCUAUGCGAACGCAAAGGCUAAAAAUAGCCUGUAACAACAUUCCAAGCCAAUUUUUCUUCCGUUUGAUCACCCGGAAUCACCCCGAGGCAACUAAGAACAGCAACCUACCCCAACAAAUCAUAUGAACUUUCUCCAAUCAUCAAAACACGUCAAACAACACUAGAAUCAUCAAUUCCCCACAGGUUCAAGCCUAAGUUUCUUAAAAACUUCCGAAUUACAUAUUCGAUCAAAAACUCAACCAAACGACGUCCGAAUGACCUGUAACUUUGCACACAUGUCCAAAAUCACCUAACGAAGCUACUGAAACUCUAGGAAUUCCAUUCCUAUCCUCGGAUGAAAAUCUCACCUAUCAACCGGAAUUCGCCAAAAUUCAAACUUAGCCAAUAGAAGCCUAAUUCUACAUCGGACCUCCAAAUUCAAUUCUGAUUGCACUCCUAAGCCACAAAUCAUCCCCUGAAGCUAACCAAAUCAUCAAAAUUCACAUCCGAGCCCGCUAACUAAAUAGUCAACAUUCGGUUGACUUUUUCCAAAACAAGCAUCCCUUUAAGAGACUAAGUGUCUCAUUCCCAACUAAAACCAAUCCAAUUCUACUCGAUCAACUCAAAUACUGAUAUUGAAACAUAGUGGAGCAUAAUAUGAGGGAAACGAGAUGGUAACUCACGUGACGACGGCCUGGGUCGUCACAUCCUUCCCAACUAAAACAAACGCUCGUCCUCGAGCGGGUCAAGAAACAUACAUGGAGUCUCAAAUAAGUGAGGAUAUCUACUUUGCAUCUCCUGAUCGGUCUCCCAAGUGGCCUCCUCCACUGCACCUUCACUGAAGCUAUGUAAUUAGAUCUCAACUUCUGAACCUGACGACCCAAAAUAGCCACUGGCUCCACAUCAUAGGUCAAGUCCUCAUCCAACUGAAUCGUGCUGAAGUCUAACACAUGAGAUGGGUCCCCAACAUACUUUCGGAGCCUAGAAACAUGGAACACCGGAUGAACUCCCGACAAGCAAGGUGGCUAAGCAAGCAUAUAUGCCACCUCCCCAAUCAUCCUAAGUAUCUCAAAAGGUCCAAUGAACCGUGGACUCAGUUUCCCUUUCUUUCCAAAACUCAACGCCUUUCAUCGGGCGAAACCUUCAGCAAGACCUUCUCGCCCACCAUAUAAGAUACAUCUCGAACCUUCGAAUUGCAUAACUCUUCUGACGCGACUGAGCUGUACGAAGUCUCUCCUGGAUCAUUUUCACCUUCUUUACGGCAUCCUGAACUAACCCUGUCCCCAUUAAUCUAGCCUCGCCGGGCUCAAACCAACCAACCGGAGAUUUACACCAUCUCCCAUAUAAGGCCUCAUACGGCGCCAUCUGAAUACUGGAUUGAUAAUGUUGCUAUAAGCAAACUCUGCUAGUGGCAAGAACUCCACCAAAGAACCUCCAAAAUCAAUAACGCAGGCGCGCAACAUGUCCUCCAAUAUCUGGAUAGUACGCUCAGACUGUCCGUCAGUCUGAGGAUGAAACAUGUGCUCAACUGUACCUGUGUGCCCAACUCCUGAUGAGAAGUCCUCUAGAACUGGGAAGUAAACUGAGUACCCCUAUCUGAGACAAUGGAAACUGGGACCCUAAAAAUCACUGCCAACCGCUCUGAAGAAUAGGUAGUACAAACUUGAAUGAAGUGUGCGGACUUGGUCAGCCAAUCCACAAUCACCCAUAUAGAAUGAAACUUCCUCGCUGUCUGAGGGAGACUAGUCACAAAAUCCAUCGUGAUCCUUUCCCAUUUCCACUAAGGAAUAUCCAUCUGCUGAAACAAACCACCGGGUCUCUGAGACUCAUAUUUGACCUACUGACAAUUUAUACACCUAGCCACAUAACUCACAAUAUUCUUUUUCAUUCUCCUCCACCAAUAAUGCUGUCUCAAAUCCUGGUACAUCUUCGCGGCACCCGGAUGAAUGGAAUACCGUGAGCUGUGGGCCUCCUCUCAUAUCAACUCUCGGAGCCUAUCCACAUUGUGCACGCAAAUCCGGCCCUGCAUCCGCAACACACCAUCAUCACCAAUAGUCACAUCUCUGGCAUCAUCAUGUUGGACCUUGUCCUUCAGGACAAGCAAAUGCGGGUCAUCAUACCGGCACUCUUUAAUGCGGUCAUACAAAGAAGAUAGGAAAACCACACAAGCCAACACCUGACUGGGCUCAGUAAUAUCUAAUCUCACCAUCCGAUUGGCUAAAGCAUGGACAUCAACUGCAAAGGGCCUCUCCCCAACUAAAAUGUACGUCAAACUGCCCAUACUAACUGCCUUUCAGCUCUAAGCAUCGGCCACUACAUUGUCCUUCCCCGGAUGAUACAAAAUGGUAAUGUCAUAAUCCUUGAGUAACUCAAGCCACCUCCUAUGCCUCAAAUUAAGAUCCUUCUGCUUAAAUAAGUGCUGAAGACUGCGAUGGUCUGUGAACACCUCACAAGAUAUGCCAUAUAGAUAGUGCCUCCAAAUCUUCAAGGAUGAACUAUAGCAGCAAACUCUAAGUCAUGAACAUGUAGUUCUUCUCAUGGGGCUUUAACUGACGAGAAGCAUAAUCAAUAACUCUACCCUCCUGCAUCAAUACACAAUCCAUCAGAACUCUCAAAGCAUCACAAUAUACCGUGUAAGAACCUGAAGCUGAUGGAAAUACUAGUACCGGAGAUGUGGUCAAAGCUGACUUGAGCUUCUGAAAACUCUUCUCGCACUCAUCCGACCACGCAAAUGGAGCAUUCCUAAAACCAAUCCAAUUCUACUCGAUCAACUCAAAUACUGAUAUUGAAACAUAGUGGAGCAUAAUAUGAGGGAAAUGGGACGGUAACUCACGUGAUGACGAGUCGGGUCACCACAUCCUCCCCAACUUAAACAAUCGCUCGUCCUCAAGCGUACCCAGAGUUGUACUAGAAUUCAACCAACAUCUGAAUGACCUUAUCACACCGCCUCAACCUUCUUUGGAUCAACCUGAAUACCAUCUCUGGACACCACAUGUCCCAGAAAAGCCACAGAACUAAGCCAGAACUCACACUUGGAGAACUUUGCAUAAAGCUUAUCCUCUCUCAAUCUCUAUAAUACCACCCUCAAGUAUUGCACGUGCUCCUCCUGGUUACGCGAGUACACAAAAAUAUCGUCAAUAAACAUGAUCACAAAUGAAUCCAGAAACGACCGAAAUGCACUAUUCAUCAAGUGCAUGAACGCGGCUAGGGCAUAAGUCAGCCCGAAUGACAUCACUAGAAACUCAUAGUGCCCAUAUCUCGUCUUGAAAGUUGUCUUCAUAAUGUCUGAAUCCUUAAUAUUCAACUGGUGAUAGCCUGAACGGAGAUCAAUCUUAGAGAAUACCUUUGCUUCCUGAAGCUGGUCAAACAAAUCCUCAAUACGGGGUAGUGGAUACUUGUUCUUCACUGUCACCUUGUUCAACUGCCUGUAGUCAUUGCACAUUCUCAUUAUGCCAUCCUUUUUCAUUACAAAUAAGACCGGUGCAUCACCGUCGUGCACCCCACGGUGACACACUCGGGCGAAUGAACCCCUUAUCUAGGAGUUCCUGAAGCUGCUCCUUCAACUCCUUUAGUUCUGCUGGUGCCAUACAAUAGGGAGGAAUAGAGAUGGGCUGAGUGCCCGACACCAGAUCAAUACCAAAAUCAAUGUCCCUGUCCGGAGGCAUGCCCGGCAGGUCCGCUGGAAAUACAUAAGGGAAAUCCCUCACAACGGGAACCGAAUCAAGACUAGGAGUCUCAGCUCCAACGUCCCUAACAAAAGCCAAGCACGAUAAACAACCCUUCCCAACCAUCCGUUGGGCCUUUAAGAAAGAAAUUACCCUGCUUGGUAGUCAUGCCUUGCCACUCGAUCCUCGGAAUACCCGGAAUAGCCAACAUAACUGUCUUAGUAUGACAUUCCAGAAUAGCAUGGUACGCGGAUAGCCAAUCCACACCCAAAAUCAUGCCGAAAUCUACCAUACCCAAUAAUAAAAAGUUAACUGGGGUCUCCAGACCCCCAAUACUAACCAGACACAAUCGAUAUACAUGAUCCACAAUAAUAGUAUUACACAUGGGGGUAGAUACGUGCACAGGCACGGCAAGACAACCAUGGGCCAUACCCAAAUGAUGAGCAAACUAUGAAGAUACAUAGGAAUCGAUAGAUCCGAGAUCAAACAAAACAGAGGCAUCUCUGUGGAAAACUGAGAUAAUACUUAUGAUAACAGCAUCUGAUGCAAUGGCGUCCCUCUUAUCUGGAAGAUCAUAGAAUCGAGCCUAACCACUGCCAGUCCGGUUUUCACCCCUGGGGCGACCUCUGGCUACCUGGCCUCCACCCCUAGCUGAUUGAGUGGGUGCUGAAGAAACAUGAGCAGAAGAUGAGGGCUGAUUUCUCUGCUGAAGCGGUCUACCACGAAGCCGAGGACACUGUUUCCUCGUAUGACCAAACUCACCGCACUCGUAGCAAUGACCUGGAGCUGGAGAUGGGGACUGAAGGGAACCCCUCGUUGCAGAUGAACCCUGGGCUGAAGAGGUAGGAGUAGCACUUUGAUCUGGAAGAGCACUAAGUGAAGAGUGGCCUUGCCGAUAACCCUGAUAACCACAGCUUGAAGAAACCCUACUGGACUUUGUACGACCUGAAUGAGGAGGUCUAAGGGAACGACCCAUGCUGUGCUAAAAGUGGCCCUUAGAUGGAGCACCACUGAAGCUAUCUGAACCCCAAGGCCUUUUAGCCUCCCUCUCCUCACGCUCCCGACGAUGAUAUGUCUAAUCUGACGAGCCAUAACUACCUUCUCAAACAAGGUGGCUACAACCCUCUCUCUAGUUAUUAAAUGUGAAUGGGAUAGUUGAGGCCAUCCACGAACCUCCUAAUCCUUUCUCGGGAUAAUCCAAGUAGCAUGCCGAGCUUACUGCGUAAACCUCAACUCAUACUGGGUUACAGUCAUGUCCCCCUAUAUCAACCACUCAAACUGAUGACGCAGCUCCUCCCUGCGAGAUUGCGGUACAUAUUUCUCCAGAAAGAGAGUGGAGAACUGGUGCCAAGUGAGGAACGCUGCUCCAACAAACCAACGCCUCUCAAACUCCUCCCACCAUGUAAAUGCAGGCCCUGAGAACUGGAAAGUAGUAAAAGCCAUUCCACUGGAUUCCAAUAUCCCUGCAGUGCGAAGCAUAUGUUGACACUUGUCUAGAAAUUCCUGGGCAUCCUAGCCCCCAAUACCACUGAACGUCGGAGGCUAGAGCCUACCAAACCUCUCCAAACGAUGAUGCUCGUCAUGUGGUAUAGAUGGAACCACAAAGUCUGGAGCUGGUGCGACUGGCGCAACUAAUAUCCAUGUAGUGCGAAGCAUAUGCUAACACUUGUCUAGAAAUCCCUGGGCAUCCUCGCUCUCUGUACCACUGAACGUCGGAGGUUGGAGCCUACCCAACCUAUCCAGGAGACACUGCUCGCCAUCUGGUAUAGCCGGAAACACAAAGUAUGGAGCUGGUGCGACUGGUGCAAUUGGAGCAACUGAUGCAACUAGGGCAACUGGUGUAACUCCCGGUGUCUGCAAUCCCUGAACACCCUGCUCGGGUGUGCGAGCAGUGGGGGUUUGUUGACCACCUCCGGUCUAAGAAGUAGCUGUUGCAGUAGUGGCUGAUACGGCUUGAGCCAGGCCAGUGGAGAUGGAUAAAAUCUGAGCUAGAGCAUUCUAAAGACCAGGAAUCACAAUGGGCACUGCCGGUACCUGAACAGGUGAUGCUGGAGCAUCUACAGCUGGAGGCUGGUCCUGAACCUGGGCAGCUGGUGGAUCUGCAGGUGCUGCCCUCGCUGGUCUGCGUUGGCCGCGGCCGCGACCACGACCCCUAGCGGGUGCCAAAUGUGGUCAUCCGUCAUGUCCGGUAGCGCGGGUUCUCGCCAUCUGCGAGAGAAUAGAAUACAUUAGUUUAGGUUUCAGAACAACAAAGACGGACGACAAGACUUCAAGAAUAUGAAGUGUUUCCUAAAGGUUCUGCAGCCUAUCGAGGAUAAAUACAGACAUCUCCGUACCGAUCCGCGAGACUCUACUAACUGGCUCAUGACUCAUGAGGCCUAGUAACCCAGACUCUGAUACCAGCUUGUCACGACCCCAAUUCCGAUCGUGAUGGAGCCCAACACAAAUACUUGGCAAGCCCGACCAAUUAACAUUCACAACUCAACUACUCAAACCAUUACCAAUUUAUAGUAUUAAAUUAUCAAAAUAGUAUAGUUCCAACCAGAUAGUAGACAGAGGUAUUAAGAAAGUCAUAACAACUAUCAAUAAAACUCCCAAAGACCUGGGGUCAUGAGUCUAGAGCCUCUAAGAUAACAAAUUAAUAAAUCCUCAGUAAUGCUGAUGUUCACAAAUGCGCAAAUAGUAACGGGAUAGGGGAGGAGUCGGGCCCUGCGAACGUCAGGCAACUACCUCGAUAACUCCUGAGAAACUCUGAAAUGGAAAAAGCUCAACUAUGCUCCCGAGGUACCUAAAUCUGCACACAUGGUGCAUGGAGUAAAGUGAGUACUUCAAACUCAGUGGUAAUAGACAUGUAUAAUGACUAAAAGUAAGAAAUCCCGAAAUACCACAAAUUAAAGCUAAACUAACCACCUAGCACAUUUAACGAUGAAUCAGCAGUAAAUAAAUGACAGAUAUACAAAUAGACAUCAAUGUAUGAAUGCAAUGCAAAGCACAUGACCGUUGUGGCGUACAACCCGAUCCGUUUGGGCACCCGCUCUCACUGUGGGGGUUCAGACUCCGGAGGGGCUCCUACAACCCAAGUGCAAUAUCAUCGUAGCAUUCCCAGCGGCGUGCAUCCCGAUCCACAAUCAGUCCAGUUAUAUGCACACAAGCCACACAGGCACACUCAAGUUUACCAUUAUUAGUUCUAUUUUUCAGGUAUUAUAGCUUAAGUGUUUAAAAACCUUAGAACUUUACUAAUCAUUUCUAGACAGUAUUUAACUCAGGACUGAUAUCAUGAAAACAUGCUCAAUAUCAUGGAAACAAUGAUAAUAAUCCCUAAGGGAUCCAAAUAAUCAGUACGCAACCCAAAUAUGCUAAUGACAAUCUAAGUAGGAUGUUUACCAGUCAAUUUCUAGCCAAUAACACAGUAUGUACAUCACUCGGAUGAACUAAGCCAUAGUCCUCGUCCACAAACGACCCCGCACUCACCGUAGAGUACGUAUCUCGCCUCAAUACAGUGUCACAAUGUGAUAUACCGGGGUUUCAAACCUCAGGUCAUCAUCUACAUCUAUUACUCCUCUCAAAACGGCCAUAGACUCGUCCGCAAUGCCCUUUCCUCUUGAAUCGACCUCCUCGCACGUCAAAGCUAGUCAAAGCCACAAUGAAUAUAUUACUAUAUGCUAAAGAAACAUAACCCAAUCGAAAUAACUCGAAAAACAUUAAAAAUUACGAAGUUGGCAAAACCCGAGCCCCGGACCCACUUCUCAAAAAAUUAUGAAAGUCACAUCACCGGAUUCCUAAUCUCGCCACAAGUCUGUACAUAUAAAGUGUACCAAAAUCGGAGCUCAAAUGGGCCAUCAAAUCCCAGUUUAGAAUUCAAAAACUCAAGCCCUAGCUCUUCAAUUUUCACCCAAAUUUCCAAGAAUUAAAGGUAGAUUCCUUGAUAGAAUAACGUUUCUAGGUCACGAGACUUUCCCCCAAUCAAUUCCCGUCAAAACUCUCUUCAAUCUUGAUCAAAAAGCUCUUGAAGUGGUUCAAAAAUGAAGGAAAUAUGAAAUGGGUCGCGGAUGAAAUGUAACAUAAAACCUUAUGUCGCCUAGAUUUUUCUUCUAUGCGAAUGCGAGGGUCCUCUCGCAUUCGCGAUGGACAAAACUCCACAAACCACUUUAACCCUACGCGAAUGCAUGCAACGAGUCGAGAACACGAUGCUCCAUCUUCCAUCACUACGCGAACGCGUCCAAACCAUCACAGACGCGAUGAGUAAGCCAAGCUGGCCCUUGUUUCCUUCUACGCGAAAGCGUGGUACCCAGCCAUGAAUGAGAUAGCCAUCCUCACAUGCCUAUGCAGAAUGUGUCCCAUGCCACGCGAACGUGACAGGGCCUAUGCAAAUGCGAAGGAUAAAAAUAGCCUGCAAUUGCUGUUGCAUUUUCUGCAACAUUCCAAGCCAAUUUUUCUUACAUUUGAUCACCCGGAGGCCCCCGAGACCUCAACUAAAAACACCAACCUACCCCAACACAUCAUACGAACUUGAUCCAAUCAUCAAAACACGUCAAAAAACACUAGAAUCAUCAAUUCCCCAUGGAUUCAAGCCUAAGUUUCUUCAAAACUUCCGAAUUAUAUAUUCGAUAGUUUAUAAAGAAUUUUCAUCCGCGAUGUUUGGGUCCUGCGUUCGAGUUACGCAGGAGUGGAAGUGUGAAAACUUGGGGGUGUACAAAGGAAACCGACAAAUCGCAUCAAUCCUAUAAGUCAAACCGAGAAAAAAAACCGACUAUGGUUUUGUUUAAUUAAAGAAAGUCAAAUUGAAAUCAAACCAACCCGACAUUACAUAUAUAAAAAUUUUAGAUAUAUUUAAUAUAUAAAUAUACUUAUUGUAACGUAAUUUUUAAAUAUUUCUUAAACUUUUUCAUAAUUUUAUAUUUUAAGGUAUUAUUUCAAGGUUGGAUUUAGAGCUUUUGAAUGUUCGAAUAAAUUUUAUAACUGUUAACAUUAGUAACUUAAAUAAUGCUAACCAAAGCCCAAAUGAAAAUUAAAACAAAACUAAUGCUAACAAAAAAUACAUUUAAUUCAAUACUAUGAAAGGCAAUGUAUGCAAUAUCUAUUUUUUUAUUUUGCAAUAAUUUAGAUAAAAAUGGAUAACCUAUUUUUAUUUUUUCUUUAGCCCUCAUGUAAUUAAUAGUUACUUAUAGUCUACUUAUUUUAGUAUGAUUUAGUACUUUUAGAUUAUGUUAAUUUUUAUUAUGGCUAUCUAACUAGCAAUAUUAUAUUACAUUAUUUUAUUGUCUCUAUUAUUGAAUACUUUAGGAUAAUGCCAUGACACAUCUCAUAUUUUUCUUGAAAAAUACCUUAUAUUGUUAUAUUUUUUUAGGAUUAAAAAAAUACUUUGUGCACAAGUUAUAUGUUUUGUGCUACGAAAAAUUUACCAGAAUAAAACCCGAAAAAAAUCAAAUAAUCUGAAAAUUCAAAAAGAAAAAUUUGAAAAACUCAAAUUUUAUUAGUUUGAUUUGAACUUUAAAUUUAAUAACCGACACAAUUACCCAGAAAAUUCACAUGGGAACGCAAGAGCUAACAGAGUAUGCCAAUAGGGAGUAUUUGGCAACUGGCAAAAAGUGUCAUGGCCUACAUUUUUGAUGAUAUAAUUAUAUCGAACAAGAGCACGAUAAAGUGCUGAUUUUAUUGGACAAAGAAUCAUAUGCCAACCACAUUAAUUGGUGUCAUUGUACAACUAUGGAUGUCUACGUUACAUCACAGCCCGCAGCCAAGUAUAGUCUCAUAAAAUGAGGUUUGGGAAGGGUACUAUGUAAACGAGUCUUACCUCUACCCGAAAGGGUAGAGAGGUUGUUUCCACUUCUUAAGUAAAAUUAUUAAGCUAUUGAAAUGUAUUCCUUGCAUAAGAUUAACAAAAAACUUCAUAAAGUGAAAUAUCCUUUCUUGUGAUAUAUGGUUGGGUACUUGGGUAUAUUAGCCUUGAAAUAACUGAAAUGUUGCACUUCUAAUAAUUUUUUUUUACUUUGUGAAUCUUUACAAAUUUAACGAAUUAGUAACCACUCGUACUAAACAUUUAAUUACUUGUGUGAUGUUAUAAUUCUAAAAAUAACCUAAUACGUAUAACAUAUUCUAUAUGUAAAGGGACAAAAACAUGCAGUUUAAUCAAUUCAAGGUUAAGUAUGCUUAAUUACUGAAUAUGAAAGUACCAAAAUUAGAGUUUACCGGAGGGAUCAAAAGAGCAAUUAUCCCUAGUUAGAAAUUUCCUUUUGGUUUACUGCCGACUAAAGUGAGUAGAAGAUAGAGGAGAAGUAAAGUACAUUACAUUUAUUUUCACUUUUCUUUUAAUCUUGCAGAAAUAGCCACUAUCAAGCCUCUAAUUCAUUGGACAAGUUACAAUAAAUACCUACUUAGUGCUAUCUAUCACUCAAUUAUGCAGCGCAAAAGAAAAAGGCUAAAUGUUAUAGUGCACUUUCACCUUAAUUAGGUUCUUUUUAAUUGAUGCCUGAAUCCAAACUUUUCAUUUCUGAGAUCCAAUUCAAUAAAGAAGUUCUGCAUCUAAAAAUUCCCCAGAAUUAUCGAUGGACCGGUUGACAACUCCGGGCCUAAAGCAUUAUCUGUGAUCAUAGUUAAACAAAUCACAUCAUUUUCACCUGCAAUAGAGAAGUAAUUUGCCAAUGGCAGUGCCAUCUCUAAACCACCUUUGAAAUGAAACUUAAGCUCUGGCAAAGACACUGUUUUGUGGCUGGAAAUAUUGAAACACGGCCUUAAACCUGCUAAUUUGCCAAUACUCUCACUUCUUGAAAUGCCCUUAACUUGGUUCACAAAUGCAUUAAGCAGAGGCUCGAAAACACCACGAUUCAUGUAUGUGAAAGUUGUCCUGAAUCCACAAUACUCCCACCAUUUCCAUUAGAAUCAGGUGUCAAAUACUUGUAGGGAAUCUUCACUUUCUGCCCUCCAACUGUGAUUUUCCUAAGACCAAUAUAAUAGUACACUGAUAGUGCAAGUUUACCAGCCACCCACAGGAUUUUUAAGCAGUGGGGUAUAGCUUAAAUUUGCAGACUUUUCAGCUUUGAAAUCCAAAACAAGAUUGCUACUUUUACCAGUGUUAUCAAACCUAUGUGAAACAAGACAAUAAGAGAAUUUUUUAACACCUAAUUGACUUGGCAAUGAUGUAAGUCCACGGCCUAAACCAGCAAUUCCAGCAGGUUGUUGAGAAGAAAACAUAGAACAGCCCACAAGAAAAUUAGGUAUUUUCUUGUUAGAAGACAUAUCAAGAGUUUCAACAAGAGUAAGUCCCCCUGUAGAACCUGAGCCAUAUAGAAUUAUAUAUGGUGGACAGAUUUGUUUACAGUUUGCUCCAGUGGGUGACUGGCAAUCUUGACAACGUGAUUUUGGAUUAGUGUUGAUAUGAAUCCAACCACAUUUUGGAUUCAAACAACCAACAACUCUAGCAGUAGAUGAUGAUUUAGUAAUGAAUGUGGAAAUUGAGGAAGAAACAGGACAGCUUUUACAUAAGUAGUUUGUCGUACAAGGAAACCAACAAAGUUACUGCCACUGUCCAUAAUGAAAGGAAUUUUCUGAGGAGGUGUACCAAAGCCAAGUGUAAUAGAGUAGCCUCCAUAGCUAUGAAGGUAUAAAGGGGUUGUGGAAACAGAAGAAUCUUGGGAUUUUUUAAGAUAAUUUGCUCUGGCUAAGGAAAUGGAAGCUAAAUGUGUGAGCUUUUCGUAUAAAUCUUGAGAUGGGUUUGUGUUAAAAAGUGAGAGUGGAAUGGUAGAUGUGGAGGUUGAUGAAGAUAUCAAGGGAAAGAGGAGAGGAAACAAAGAGAGAAAAAGGAGAAAACAGCAAGAAGAAGCCAUUGUUUUUUGUGCCUCUGGACCCAAAACUAAAUACUACUCCUUGGCUGUCUUGAGAUAAAGCAAAGUAUUCAACAAUAACAACCCAGUAUAAUUUCACUUAGUGGGGUCUGAGAAGGGUAAUGUGUACGCAGACCUUACCCUUACUCUAGAGCAGAGUGACUGUUUCUAAAUAUAAAGCAAAGUAUUCGAUUUUUGGAAACCAAUUUUUAGGCUAAGGAAAACUCAACUUUCACUGUGACAUGUGAUUCUGCACUUUAGUUGAAAGAUGACCAAUAAGUUCCCACAAAUUAAAGUGUAAAUGAAAAGGGUUGGUGGGUUUUGAAAAGUUUGGCCACUAUAUUCAAACAUUAGGUACUAACCGUUACACAAUAUUGCUUUGGUACUAUUCCAUUUUGGAUCAUAUGCCAAUUUGAUAAACUAGACGUGCCUAGGAACUUCACUAUGGGGAUUGCGACAGACUACUCUAAGAUCUUCAUACCUUAAAAUGAUUAAGAUAAGUUGAACCAAAAGUUCAUUUCUAAGGUAGAUGAACUUUUGGAACGAGAUCCGUAAUCCUUACUAUCCGACUCAAAGAUACCACUAGGGGUCGUUUAGUUUGGAAACAAAUUAAUUAUUCCAGAAUUAAUUAAAUAUUUCGGAAUUAUUAUUCUAUUCUCUACCAUUUUGAUAUAGCUAAUUCUGAAGAAAGAUUCUUAUAACUAGGACUAUAUUUUAAUAAUAAUAAGCAUAUUUGUAUUACACGACGUGAGUAGGGUACAAUGGCAUCAUUUAUUUGAGAAGUUACGAAAACAAAGCAUCUUGAUUUCCUACUUCACUAAUUAUUAUCACUUUGAUUAAAUAGUGAAACUUAUAAUAAAGGAUUUUCAAGUUUGUAUAAUGCCAUUUGGUCAGAGGGAGUACUUGUCAUUCUAGAAACAGGUCAUAUACAUACAAAUUAGAUGGUGUAGGAUAAGGUUUUAACUCUAAAAUAGAAUAAAGACAUUACUAAGGGUUAAUUCACACGUGAGUCCUCACAUGGCCUGGAAAAUUUUAGACGAAUCAACGUUUCCAUAUUUUUGGCUUUUUCUCUAGUCCCCAAUAAUUCUGAAGGGAAGGGAAAGGGGAAAGAGUUGGGUAGGGUUUUUUCGUCAAGGGACAUUUCAUGUCAUUGUCGAAGGAGCUUUCUUACAACUAUUUGGCACAUUUAAUAAAAGCUACUAGCUUAAAAACAAAAAAGCUACUAGCUUGUUCAUACCUUAUUAGGUUUAACUUUUUGGUAAUUACCUUUUAUUGUUCAUUCCAUAUAUAUCAGGUUGCAAAUCGCAAACUUACUGUUUAUUAUGGUACCUUAUAUUUGGCUUAAUUUAUAUAUAUUUUAAUAUAUAUUGUCUCACAUUGUGUUCAUAUUUCGUAGAUUUCGGAUGUAUAAAUAUAAUAAUUUAUGCUAAUUUAUGGUAUUUCUAUGUGUAGUAAUUAUUCGGAUGUAAUUUGGGACGAAAGCAGGCGAAUUGGAGCGAAAAUGGAAAGAAAAGGCAAAAGUGCACAUUUGAGGGCCACAGGCGCUCAAAACAGAAUGCUAAAAGUUGAGCGCCAGGGCCAGCGCCCCACGGUGCCUGGACGCUAAAAACGUGAACAUGUCCUAUUUUGAUCAAGGCUCGGUUAUUUUGACCGGAAGACGUCUCCAACUCAUAUAAAAGCCAACCUAAACCUAUUUUCAGGGAGACAACGUUUUUGAGAAGAAAAUACAAGCACAGAGUCGCCGUGGAGGCUCGGUUUCAUCUUUUCUUCCACCAAACUUUGUUAGUUUUAUGUUUCUUUGUAUGAUUUGUUGUUUGGCUACCAUACCUACGUGGAGCUAAACUUCAUGUUCUAUGGUUG